AUCUAUGGCCAUACCACCCCGAAUGUUCCUGAUCUCAUCUGAUAUCAGAAGCUAAACAGGGUAGGGCCUGCUUAGCACUUGUAUAGGAGAAAGUAUAUGAAGCAGAAUGAAUGAAUGUGAGGACAGAACAUCAAAUA
rnacentral:rRNA from 1 species